rnacentral:rRNA from 1 species
GAUGAACGCUGGCGGCGUGCCUAACACAUGCAAGUCGAGCGAGAAACCUGCAAUUGAAACUUCGGUAGAUUUUGCGGGCGGAAAGCGGCGGACGGGUGAGUAACGCGUAGGCAACCUGCCCUUUGCAGAGGGAUAGCAACGGGAAACUGUUAUUAAAACCUCAUAAUACCGACAUGUCAAAUGACAAGACGGUCAAAGAUUUAUCGGCAAAGGAUGGGCCUGCGUCUGAUUAGUUAGUUGGUAGGGUAACGGCCUACCAAGGCAGCGAUCAGUAGCCGACCUGAGAGGGUGAUCGGCCACAUGGGAACUGAGACACGGGCCCAACUCCUACGGGAGGCAGCAGUGGGGAAUAUUGCACAAUGGGCGAAAGCCUGAUGCAGCAACGCCGCGUGAAGGAUGAAGGCCUUUGGGUCGUAAACUUCUGUCCUUGGGGAAGAAAAAAAUGACGGUACCCCUGGAGGAAGUCCCGGCUAACUACGUGCCAGCAGCCGCCGUAA